UGCAUUAUUUUGGCUCCUGCUGCAUCUCUUUGCAUCCAAGACUUGGUGUCGGUUUAGACUUGGAAUUCCUCAUUCAGGAUUGUUGAAUAUAGGUGUGAGCUGGAUCCCCCUUCAAUCCUCUGGCAUUGGCAUGUACCAAAUUCGAGAAGCUUAAUAGGGUUUUCUGGGGAAGUAGAGGAUCUACACUAAUUUGAAUGGGGCAUUCUGCAGCUGUGUGGGACUAUAGAGCAGCAACGGAAAUUACAAAGGACUGGAAUGGAAUUGAUCAAAUUGUGCUUCGGACCCCAAGGGGUGCUUCAGCACGGGUAAGCUUACAUGGGGCGCAGGUCACUUCCUGGCGGAAUGAGCAGGGGGAAGAACUUCUAUUCACAAGCAGCAAGGUAUGUCUUUUAAUUUUGAUUAAAAAUAAUUAAUUAUUUUUUUCAAAGUAUAUGGAUUUGUCAUAUGUCAGUGCUGAUAAGGAAAAUAUGUGUCAACGUUUCAUAAUCCUGUUUUCUGAAAUGAGUUCAUUUUGGGAUAAACUGCAUUAUAUUGAAGGUAGUAUGUGGAGGGCAUUGGCUCAGAUAAUCAAUAAAUUCAGAUAGAGUUCGGAUGUUGAUGAAUCGUAACAUUCUAUGUUGCUCAUCAAUCAUAUCAAUGCAAAAGACAAAUAGGGAAGAAAGAGUGCAUUGAUUAA